rnacentral:rRNA from 1 species
GGGGCCAUCUCGGUUUACUGAUUUCAGAUAAACUCCGAAUGCCAAAGAUUUAUGGUCGGCAGUCAGACUGCGAGUGCUAAGAUCCGUAGUCGAAAGGGAAACAGCCCAGACCACCAGCUAAGGUCCCAAAAUAAUUGUUAAGUGGAAAAGGAUGUGGGGUUGCACAGACAACUAGGAUGUUAGCUUAGAAGCAGCUAUUCAUUCAAAGAGUGCGUAAUAGCUCACUAGUCGAGUGACCCUGCGCCGAAAAUAUACCGGGGCUAAAACAAUUUACCGAAGCUGUGGAUAACACAUUAGUGUUAUGGUAGGAGAGCGUUCUAUGUGUGAAGAAGGUAUACCGUGAGGAGUGCUGGAACGCAUAGAAGUGAGAAUGCCGGUAUGAGUAGCGAAAGAUGGGUGAGAAUCCCAUCCACCGUAAGACUAAGGUUUCCAGGGGAAGGCUCGUCCGCCCUGGGUUAGUCGGGACC